UGGCGGCAGGCCUAACACAUGCAAGUCGAGCGGUAGAGAAGGAGCUUGCUUCUUCUUGAGAGCGGCGGACGGGUGAGUAAUGCCUAGGAAUCUGCCUGGUAGUGGGGGACAACGUUUCGAAAGGAACGCUAAUACCGCAUACGUCCUACGGGAGAAAGUGGGGGAUCUUCGGACCUCACGCUAUCAGAUGAGCCUAGGUCGGAUUAGCUUGUAGGUGAGGUAAUGGCUCACCUAGGCAACGAUCCGUAACUGGUCUGAGAGGAUGAUCAGUCACACUGGAACUGAGACACGGUCCAGACUCCUACGGGAGGCAGCAGUGGGGAAUAUUGGACAAUGGGCGAAAGCCUGAUCCAGCCAUGCCGCGUGUGUGAAGAAGGUCUUCGGAUUGUAAAGCACUUUAAGUUGGGAGGAAGGGUUGUAGCUUAAUACGCUGCAACCUUGACGUUACCAACAGAAUAAGCACCGGCUAACUCUGUGCCAGCAGCCGCGGUAAUACAGAGGGUGCAAGCGUUAAUCGGAAUUACUGGGCGUAAAGCGCGCGUAGGCGGCUUGAUAAGAUGGGUGUGAAAUCCCCGGGCUUAACCUGGGAACUGCAUCCAUAACUGUCUGGCUAGAGUACAGUAGAGGGUGGUGGAAUUUCCUGUGUAGCGGUGAAAUGCGUAGAUAUAGGAAGGAACACCAGUGGCGAAGGCGACCACCUGGACUGAUACUGACGCU
rnacentral:rRNA from 1 species